UGUUAUAAAACUAAACUCAAAGAAAGACAAGAACAAGAGAAAUAUGGAGAGGGAGAGAGUUUCUUAUUGAGGUGUGGAGAAUGAUACAAAUGAGAGCUCUAUUUAUAGGCUCAUGGAAUAGUAACAUAUACUCUCUAACAUUACUACACAUAAAGGAGGGAAAUAAACUACAUUGAAUAAUACAAUAAACAUAGGAGUUA
rnacentral:lncRNA from 1 species